rnacentral:rRNA from 1 species
UACGUAGGGCGCAAGCGUUGUCCGGAAUUAUUGGGCGUAAAGAGCUCGUAGGCGGCUUGUCACGUCGGGUGUGAAAGCCCGGGGCUUAACCCCGGGUCUGCAUUCGAUACGGGCUGGCUGGAGUGUGGUAGGGGAGAUCGGAAUUCCUGGUGUAGCGGUGAAAUGCGCAGAUAUCUGGAGGAACACCGGUGGCGAAGGCGGCAUUCUGGACCGAUAUUGACGCUGAGGAGCGAAAGCCAGGGGAGCAAACGGG